rnacentral:rRNA from 1 species
ACGGGUGAGUAAUAUAUCGGAACGUGCCCAAUCGUGGGGGAUAACGUAGAGAAAUUUACGCUAAUACCGCAUACGAUCUAAGGAUGAAAGCGGGGGAUCGCAAGACCUCGCGCGAUUGGAGCGGCUGAUAUCAGAUUAGGUUGUUGGUGAGGUAAAAGCUCACCAAGCCGACGAUCUGUAGCUGGUUUGAGAGAACGACCAGCCACACUGGGACUGAGACACGGCCCAGACUCCUACGGGAGGCAGCAGUGGGGAAUUUUGGACAAUGGGCGAAAGCCUGAUCCAGCAAUGCCGCGUGCAGGAAGAAGGCCUUCGGGUUGUAAACUGCUUUUGUACGGAGCGAAACGGCUCUUUCUAAUAAAGAGGGCUAAUGACGGUACCGUAAGAAUAAGCACCGGCUAACUACGUGCCAGCAGCCGCGGUAAUACGUAGGGUGCGAGCGUUAAUCGGAAUUACUGGGCGUAAAGCGUGCGCAGGCGGUUAUGUAAGACAGUUGUGAAGUCCCCGGGCUCAACCUGGGAAUUGCAUCUGUGACUGCAUAGCUAGAGUACGGUAGAGGGGGAUGGAAUUCCGCGUGUAGCAGUG